GGCUGGGAGUCCAGGACCAGGAAAAAGCACAUAGUAAAUGACAUUUGAGGAGCAGACUUUUAAAAUGUGAAUUGUCUCAUUUAAUUCUCACACUAAUUCCAUAAGAUAGGCAUUACUAGUCUCAAUUUACAGACAAGGAAUAUAAGACUUUGAGCCCAGGUCUGCUCAGCUGUGACACUCACAUCCCUCCAUCACCCAUGAGAUGUGUUCUGGUCAUCUCCUUGGGGACUGGCUGUCCAGAGUCGAAACACUUCAAAAUUAGUGCUUAGGUAAGGGGUGAAGAUCAGGGGAUAGACUGAGUAGUAAGUGCUGUGACAGAGGUCGUCUGGACCUCUGGCCUCUGGGUGCACAGCAACCCCUCGCGGCAGGAUUGCAACCGCGGAGGCCUGCAGCUGUGACUAAACUCGCGCCUCCUCCGCCGGCUUGUAUAACAAGAAGCCUAGAGGUAGACAG
rnacentral:lncRNA from 1 species